AUACGUAGGGAGCGAGCGUUGUCCGGAAUUACUGGGUGUAAAGGGAGCGUAGGCGGGAGUGCAAGUCAGAUGUGAAAUACAUGGGCUCAACCCAUGGGCUGCAUUUGAAACUGCAUUUCUUGAGUGAAGUAGAGGUAAGCGGAAUUCCUGGUGUAGCGGUGAAAUGCGUAGAUAUCAGGAGGAACACCGGUGGCGAAGGCGGAUUACUGGUCUAUUACUGACGCUGAGGCUCGAAAGCGUGGGGAGCAAACAGGAUUAGAUCCCCUGGUAGCCCACGCCGUAAACGAUGAAUACUAGGUGUGGGGGGUAACGACUCCCUCUGUGCCGCAGUUAACACAAUAAGUAUUCCGCCUGGGGAGUACGGCCGCAAGGUUGAAACUCAAAGGAAUUGACGGGG
rnacentral:rRNA from 1 species